rnacentral:rRNA from 1 species
UUAAAUGGCCGCAGUAUUUUGACUGUGCAAAGGUAGCAUAAUCAUUAGUUUCUUAAUUAGAAGCUGGAAUGAAGGGUUGAACGAAAAAAUAACUGUCUCUUUAUAAAUUUAUUAGAAUUUUAUUUUUAAGUUAAAAAGCUUAAAUAAGUUUAAAAGACGAGAAGACCCUAUAGAGUUUUAUAUAAUUUUUUAUAAUUAGUUUAUUUAUAAUUAUUAAUAUUUUAUAAAUAAUUAUAUUUAGUUGGGGUGAUUGAAAAAUUUAAUUAACUUUUUUUUUUAAAAACAUUUUUAUAUGAUUAAUUGAUCCAUUAUUUAUGAUUAAAAGAUUAAAUUACCUUAGGGAUAACAGCGUUAUUUCUUUUUAGAGUUCAAAUCGAUAAAGAAGUUUGCGACCUCGAUGUUGGAUUAAAAUAUAUUUUUGGUGUAGAAGCUAAAAUAUUAGGUCUGUUCGACCUUUAAAAUUUUACAUGAUCUGAGUUUAAACCGGUGUAAGCCAGGUUGGUUUCUAUCUUUAAAUAAUAAAUAUAUUUUAGUACGAAAGGACCAAGUAUUUAAAAAAUUUUUUUAGUAUUGAAUAAUAUUAAUAU